UACGGGGGGGGCAAGCGUUGUUCGGAAUUACUGGGCGUAAAGGGCUCGUAGGCGGCCAACUAAGUCAGACGUGAAAUCCCUCGGCUUAACCGGGGAACUGCGUCUGAUACUGGAUGGCUCGAGUUUGGGAGAGGGAUGCGGAAUUCCAGGUGUAGCGGUGAAAUGCGUAGAGUAUCGUAAGGAAGACCAGUGGCGAAGGCGAGUCUCUGGACAGCAACUGACGCUGAGGCACGAAGGCCAGGGGAGCAAACGGG
rnacentral:rRNA from 1 species